GUCCUAGCCGUAAACGAUGGUCACUAGGUGUAGGGGGUUAUCAACUCCCCCUGUGCCGAAGCUAACGCAUUAAGUGACCCGCCUGGGGAGUACGGCCGCAAGGCUAAAACUCAAAGGAAUUGACGGGGGCCCGCACAAGCGGCGGAGCAUGUGGCUUAAUUCGACGCAACGCGAAGAACCUUACCGGGGCUUGACAUAUAGGUGAAAGCUAUGGAAACAUGGCCCCCCUUUAUGGGCGCCUAUACAGGUGGUGCAUGGUUGUCGU
rnacentral:rRNA from 1 species